ACUACUACUACUACUACUACGGCUGGGUCGAUAUGAACCGAUAUAUUUAGUAUAUUUAACUAUGAACAUUUGACAUACUGAAUAAUACAUUGAUGAAAUGCUUCGACAAACAUCAAGCACCUCCUCUAUUUAUUGAGAAGACAUAGUGCCAUAACAUCAAAGUCUAGACUUUGUUCAUCUACAUCGAAAGGUAAACAAUCAACAGUCCCACAGCAGCCAGUGGGAUUCAGAUGUUAGUCAUGACAUCGUAUCCG